rnacentral:rRNA from 1 species
UGGGGAAUAUUGGACAAUGGGGGAAACCCUGAUCCAGCAAUGCCGCGUGAAUGAUGAAGGCCUUAGGGUUGUAAAGUUCUUUCACCUGUGACGAUAAUGACGGUAGCAGGAUAAGAAGCCCCGGCUAACUCCGUGC